rnacentral:rRNA from 1 species
AUGUCGGAGAUCAGGAGAUGGCCUUGUUCUACAGCACCACCGCAAAUAUAUGUGUUCCCUCCAGGUUCAGUUGCUGCUGCAUCCUUGAGGCCUCGGCGAGUAGGAGAGUUGCGCCGGCGUCCAGAAUACUGGCCGCGACCGACAGGAGCAAGCGCCGUAAUUGUGCCGGCGUUGAGGAGUAUGGUCGCGAACGACGAGAGCAAGCAUCCAACGUGUUGUGACCAGGGGAAAAUCCGCGCCGGCGUCGAGGUGUGCGGCUGUACCGGCGGCCGGCAGUGGCAAUCCGGAUUUCACAACUUGGAUUCAAACUUUCAGAGAAGAAGCUACCUUGCUGCUUCGAGAUCCGUACUGCCAGGUGUCACCCAAUGGAGUGGGUCUCCAGAUCAGAAGUAUACGACCCGGUCGUAUAAGAUUUUCUUCCUCUUUCCACACGGAGUGUCCAUAUUUGAACUUGCAAACUUCUUGAGCCCAAACACUAUCCUAGACAACCUGGACUCAAUGGCCGCUGGUGCUGCUACUCAAGCUCGUGUCAUGGUGCUACCCUUCCCCGCGCAGGGCCAUGUCAUCCCGCUCAUGGAGCUGUCUCGCAAGCUCGCCGAGCACCGCCUCGAGGUGGACUUCGUGAACACCGAGUUCAACCACGACCUCGUCAUGGAAGCAAUGGCAGAGAAGGGAGCAAUUCCUAAUGGGAUCCACAUGCUCACCGUUCCGGACAGCCUGGGCCCCGGAGACGACCACGCCGACAUCAGCAAGUUUGUCGAGGACCUGCCGGCCGCCAUGUCCGGCCGCCUCGAGGAGAUGAUCCGAUCCAGGAAGAUUAGGUGGGUGAUCGUGGAUGUGUCCAUGAGCUGGGCGCUGUAG